UCCGAAGUAGCUCAGUCGGUAGAGCAGGCGGCUGUUAACCGCCGGGUCAGGGGUUCGAGUCCCUUCUUCGGAGCCA
rnacentral:tRNA from 2 species